rnacentral:rRNA from 1 species
CACGUAGGCACCAAGCGUUGUCCGGAUUUAUUGGGCGUAAAGAGCUCGUAGGCGGUCUACUAAGUUGGAUGUGAAAACUCUGGGCUUAACCCAGAGCCUGCAUUCAAAACUGAUAGGCUGGAGUUCUGGAGGGGAUAGCGGAAUUCCUGGUGUAGCGGUGAAAUGCGUAGAUAUCAGGAGGAACACCGGUGGCGAAGGCGGCUAUCUGGACAGAAACUGACGCUGAGGCGCGAAAGCUAGGGGAGCAAACAGG